rnacentral:rRNA from 1 species
GACGAACGCUGGCGGCGUGCUUAACGCAUGCAAGUCGAGCGGUAAGGCCCUUUCGGGGGUACACGAGCGGCGAACGGGUGAGUAACACGUGGGUGACCUGCCCUCAGUUCUGGGAUAAGCCUGGGAAACCGGGUCUAAUACUGGAUAUGACCUCAUGACGCAUGUUGUGGGGUGGAAAGCCUUGUGCGACUGAGGAUGGGGCCCGCGGCCUAUCAGCUUGUUGGUGGGGUGAUGGCCUACCAAGGCGACGACGGGUAGCCGGCCUGAGAGGGCGACCGGCCACACUGGGACUGAGACACGGCCCAGACUCCUGCGGGAGGCAGCAGUGGGGAAUCUUGCGCAAUGGGCGAAAGCCUGACGCAGCGACGCCGCGUGAGGGAUGACGGCCU